rnacentral:rRNA from 1 species
UACAGAGGGGGCAAGCGUUAUUCGGAAUUAUUGGGCGUAAAGGGCGCGUAGGCGGCCUUCUAAGUCGAACGUGAAAUCCCUGGGCUCAACCCAGGAACUGCGUCCGAUACUGGGAGGCUUGAAUCCGGGAGAGGGAUGUGGAAUUCCAGGUGUAGCGGUGAAAUGCGUAGAUAUCUGGAGGAACACCGGUGGCGAAGGCGGCGUUCUGGACUGCUACUGACACUGAGGAACGAAAGCCAGGGGAGCAAACGGG